ACAUUGUUGUGUCGAAUUUCUGUCAGCUGUCAAUGGCCGUGUGUAAACUGUAAACAUUACACGACCUUUCAGAGGACACCUAGAGGGAUGUACAUGCGGUUUCCACGUGACUAAAAGACACGAGUGAUUACGAACGGGAGAGAUCUCGAGUCGCACCGAAUAAUCCGAAAUGGCGCACAUCGAUACGAGCGAAGAUGAAUCGGACCUGCCGACUCCGAAUUUUGUCCGAAAAACUCGCCAAUAUCAGAGUCACAAUCAUGGCAGCCCAGUUACACCCUCGUCCAUCACAAGCUCCGUGAUAUUCGGGCAAAUCCCCGAAGACGUGCUGCGCGUCUGGAGUCAACUGCCGGAGGCAGUUCGACUGGACCCCAGCCUGGCGGUUUUCCAGCGCGAAUAUGACCGAGUCAAUCAAAUAACGGAGACGAGAUCUCCGGAUAACUCGAAGCGAGACUACCUGGUUGUGAAUAUGUCUCUCGGCAGGCAACCCGCGAUGUCGAUUAGAGUCCCGAAUACAAGCAACCUCAGCGAAGGGAACAACGGGCAAGAUGCACAAGCGGCCCCGGAGGUCAAGCAAAAGAUGUUUUGUCGUUACGUGAAAUUAACCGUGCUGUCCUGUUGUUGGCUGAUGUUUACGAUGAUACUGAUGUUCAAGAGCGAGAAGAUCGAGACGAUGCACCGGGUCUCGAUCCCAAGCGGAGAAAGCAUAAAUUACGAGAUUCACGAGCGCGUCGCAAGCAAGCGGAUCAAGAUGACGGUGCAAGGCUCGUUGUUGUCCUUGGUGAAAAACGAACAAAAUCUGUCCACGCCUCAUUUGAUCAUAUGGCUGGGGUUUUCGAUACGCGAGGAAACGAUUGACGCAAGCCCGCAAGUGCCGCAGAAUAUAAGCGACGUGUGGAUAUUGAACGUACCGCCCGAACAUUUGAUGGAUGUCUUUCUCGACCAAAAGCACGAGCGGAUAUUCGAGAUCAAAGGAAUCAACGACGACACCUUGUCGCGCGGUGUGAUGUCCAUCAACUUCCGCACGAACUUGGAGUCCAAUUUUCCGAUUAACGUCAGUUACGACUUGUUGGACAGCCAAAUGGGUAUAAUAUGCGCAGCUUUGGUCUUGAUAGGCUUGUACAUCUUGAUUAUCUUCGAGGUUGUACACAGAGCACUGGCAGCCAUGUUAGCGUCUACGAUGUCUGUCGGAAUAUUGGCAGCUUUCAACGAGCGACCGACCAUGGCCCAACUGAUCUCCUGGAUAGACAUGGAUACGCUUCUGCUUUUGUUUUCCAUGAUGUUGCUUGUUGGCAUCAUCGCUGAGACCGGCAUCUUCGACUGGCUGUCAGUUUACGCUUACAAGAUAUCCGGCGGCAAGAUGUGGCCGUUGAUCAACACUCUGUGUUUCUUUACUGCAUUCGUCUCGUCGUUCUUGGAUAACGUCACGACGGUAUUGCUGAUGACCCCCGUGACCAUCAGGUUGUGCGAGGUGAUGGAGCUGAAUCCGGUCCCGAUCUUGACCGCCAUGGUGGUUUACUCCAACAUCGGGGGCGCGAUGACGCCGAUCGGCGAUCCGCCGAAUGUCAUCAUCUGUUCCAACCGAGACGUCGUAGAAGCUGGAAUCGACUUCAGCACGUUCAUGUUGCACAUGAGCAUCGGGGUAAUACUGGUGCUGAUCAUAGUCACCGCGCAAUUCCGUUUCAUCUAUCGAGAUGUGGCGGUCCUGAGGUUCGACGUGCCACAGGAUGUACAGGAGCUGAGACACGAGAUCGCCAUCUGGCAACGAGCGGCGGCCAGUUUAUCCAGCUACAGCAAAGACGAGAACGUGGUGAGAGAGACGUUGCUGAAGAAAGCCCAACGUUUGCUGUCGCGGCUUAAAUCAAAGGCGAUCACUGGCAGCACAGCGUUGAGGAAUUACAAGAACACGCUCGACGAAUUGCAGGAAAAGUAUCCUAUCAGAGACAAAUGGCUGCUGGCAAAGUCGGGAUUCGUGCUGAUUUUCGAGAUGACACUCUUUUUCCUGCACAGCGUGCCUAACUUGAACCUAUCUCUAGGCUGGACCGCCCUCAUCGGCAUCCUGCUGCUCCUGAUAUUAACCGACAGCCAGGAUCUCGACGGUCUAAUGGCGCGUGUCGAGUGGAGUACUUUGGUAUUCUUCGCAUCGCUGUUUAUUCUUAUGGAGUGUCUAUCACGCUUGGGUUUCAUCGACUGGAUCGGCAAGCAGACGGAGACAAUUAUUCUGUCGGUCAACGAGGAGUCCCGACUGGCGGUUGCCAUACUGCUGUUGCUCUGGGUGUCGGCGUUAGCGAGCGCCUUCGUCGACAACGUGCCGCUCACCACCAUGAUGGUGAGAAUCGCCACGAAUCUGGCGCAGAAUAACGAGCUCAAUUUACCAUUGCAACCUCUGGUGUGGUCGUUGGCGUUGGGCGCUUGUAUGGGAGCUAUCGUAUCGCGCGGGAUAACGAAAGGCCGCGACUCGUGGAAACUGGCGCCCCUCGACGAGCUCCUCGACGAGCGCCAGUUCUUCUAUUUACGUGAGCUAUUUGAACGAUUGCGGUGUUUAAAGGAAAUGGAACUUUGAUUGGAGCUACCGCCAAUGUGGUCUGCGUGGGCGUCGCGGAGCAACACGGUUACAAGUUCAGUUUCAUGCAGUUCUUCAAGAUAGGAUUCCCCAUCAUGGUAACAAGUACUUUAACCAUAACGAUAUAUCUAAUAAUCGCUCACGUUAUGUUCGGUUGGAACGCAACUUAGCGACUACAAGCACUAGGAAAGUGUCAACGAGAAGCCUUCUAAAACCUUCUAAAACGCACGGAGAACAUUAACACAAUGUAUAUCGUGUACACUUUUACGCACAGAAACGCUCGUCGCAAUAAUCGUUUCAUAAUCGUCUCAAAGCGAGUCAGUCAUUAUGUAACAUUCGUUAUUUUCGUUCUCAAGAUAAUUGUACGGCACACCGCGAGUUUUAGUUAUUUUGGGGGAUAUUUGUUAUAUGUAUAUAUAUAUAUAUAUAUGUAUAUGUAUACGCGAUCCGAAUAUUUAUUAUGCGUCAAAUAUACGUAUAGUUUUAACAUACACUUUCUUACAUUUCUGCGAGUAUUCGUGUAAAAUUGUGUAAAAAAGAAAUUCGAAACACAGCUCCUACGCAUACGUUAUACUAUGAGAAAUCAAUCAUAUCACAUGAUACAAUGUAUAUAUCGAGUCCCAUAUGCAAUAAAUUGCUCCUUUCGAAGCUUGCCAAGUCUCUUCUCUUCGGUCGCUCGCUUUCAAUCGUGAAUUCGUCGUGAAGAAUAAUCACUUGGCAGACCUUCGUUGCAAAAAGGUUUUAAUAAUUACACAAAAUACACAUACACGAUAGACGCAAUUCGUUGAAACACCUUUAUUAAAAAAACGGGGCUCUCCGGAUGAAGAGGGAAAAGAUCUCAAUUCCAAACGCCACCAGACGCGUAGCGUCGUAGAUUGUUGAAAGAUCGGACAACUUAUCGCGAGCUUACACUUAUAAAUCCCCGUUAAAAUUAUGCUCAGCUUAACGCAGUCGUGUGUUUACUGAAACUAAACACUGAACUGUUUUACUUAAAUUCUAUUUCUUAUAAAACUGGUAUUCUUGUAAUUAAGACAAUAAAUUCUUUGUGCGUGUGAUCUUCGCUGCUAAAAAGUAAGUCAUUAGAAUUUAUUAAAAUUGCCAAUAAAUAGACACACA